UCUAUAUCCAUCACUACAAGUCAGGAGAGCAAUGGUUCUGCAAGUCAAGCUGACUGCAGUAUAACCCAAACCUUCUACCCGAACACUGUCCUAAGAGACUCAAUGAUCAUAACAGAGAGAAAGGACCUACUGACCACUCCUCUCCUGGCUGAACUCAAUAUUCCCAUGACGCUGAACAAGGAAGAGGAGACGCAUGCUAUCGGGAUGACUUGUCUUUGUACACAGCUAUGAGGCUCCUGACCCCUCCAAAGCCAUCUCUCUGAAUUAAUAUCCAGAGAAGGUCUGGCUAUGAUGGAGCACGAGGCACCCAGGUGAGAAGGAGAAAUGAGCCUGAAUAUUGGGGAGCCACACCGCUAUCUGGGGAAUGUGCCAGUUUCCCUACCGGAGGUUCAGGUAGGAGGAGUGGCUAAGUGGAAAGUGAAAGAGUUGGACUGUGAAGGCACUCUUACUAACCAAAGAAACCCAGGGAGCCAGAGCUCAUGUGCCCAGGGGCCUCUCCCAGACACUUCAGUGUGGGCUGUCACAUGCAGAGAAGAAGCGGGUUGUCCGUCACUAAAGAAAACAGUCACAAGAGUGUGGGCACCUACUUUCUAGAAAGGGCUACUGUCUGCCUGGAGAUGGUAAAAUGAGUUGAAAGA